rnacentral:ribozyme from 13 species
UUUUUCUUCUUUUUCUUCUUCUCUUCCUCUUUCUUCUUCUCUUUCUCUUUCUUCUUCUUCUCUCAAAUCCCUUCCAACAAAACUCUCCAGAGGAGAAGAAGGGGGAAGAGGAGAACCAAGAGAAAGAGAAGAAAU